GGUAACAAAGGGAUACUAAGUUCACGUUGCUGCUGAUGUGUCGCUAUAGUGUUUACCCUGUUAGCUUGUCUUCUCCUGUGAAUUUGUAGUCAUAUUCUUCAAUUUGUUCGAAUGAAAAUCCAAGAACUUCAUAGGUUUUGCAUCUGUCGAUAAGAAGGUCUGUGAUGCUUGACAAAGCCGUAGGUAGUAGUGGUCAAAAUUAAAGCAUCUUUAAGAAGUUUUCCGGACGCAAGCCAGUGAUAAAAUAUUUGGAGCGGCAUUUUCUGUUCAAUGCUUCUAGGACGAAGCGACGCCUUGGCGAUGUUUGCGCUAUGAUGUAUGAAUUCGUCGAAUCCGUCAAAAAGUAUGAGUACGCAGGCUUCGGGGUGCUACAAGAUAAUGUUUCCAAAUCUCACCAUCCAAGUGAUCUGAGAGGAAAUAGCCGGACUGAAUCAGUAGUUACCUGGGACUAAGGUCACUGGCCGAGUUAAAUUUCCGAAAUUAUAUGAAGAAAGCAGCCCUAAAAUGGCUUUUUUUGGUUUAAAAACUUUAUCAAAUGCCCAGUCUCUGAGAAGAAUAUCGUUCUUAAAUAUGGCUUGCUUGGAAAACAGCGAGGACCGGAAACAACACAUUUAUCCCCUCUCAAGCUGCCCAACACAGUUCCUGGAUCUUAACACUGAAAAUUAUGACCUUACAGAACUGGUAAGUACCAGUACUUCGACACUCAGAAAACAACUGCACA